rnacentral:rRNA from 1 species
UACGUAGGGGGGCAAGCGUUGUCCGGAUUUAUUGGGCGUAAAGAGCGUGUAGGCGGUCAGGUAGGUCCGUUGUGAAAACUCGAGGCUCAACCUCGAGACGCCGAUGGAAACCAUCUGACUAGAGUCCGGAAGAGGAGAGUGGAAUUCCUGGGUGUAGCGGUGAAAUGCGCAGAUAUCAGGAAGAACACCCGUGGCUAAGGCGGCUCUCUAGUACGGUACUGACGCUGAGACGCGAAAGCGUGGGGAGCGAACAGGG